UACAAACUCUAAUUUUUUUAAAUAUUGUCCAAGCCCAAAUCAUCAAUUCACAAAUAACCCUAAUUUUACACCCCUAAUCUUUCUCUCAUUUACCCCGCUUCCCCCUCAUUCUCAUUCUAUCUCCUCUCUCUUUCCAACCUUUCCUAUUUCCUCCCUCUUCUCCUCUUGUUUCCAUUUUUUUUGUCAUCAAAAAGCCCUAUUGCACCCUAAUCUUCUCGUUAAUAUCCAUCUUAACAUUUUAAAAGAUUGCUGACAGCCCUAAUCCUGUUGAAACCAUUGUGGAAUAAUUAUGUUGAUGAAAGUUAACGUUGGUGCGGGUAUUCACCAGAGUCCUCGAGAAAGUGCAUCUCAAAGUCCAGCAACCUGAUCUGUAGUGUUUAUAUACUGAAAAAUAGUUGUUGUUUUAUAUAGUAUUUUCGUGGUCUUUUGGACACGUUUGAGCUUUUAGCUUAAACUUUAUUUGCAAACUACAUGUGGAACUCGUUGGAACUUUGGAAGUAUUUUGGAACCUUGGAACUUUUUAUUGUUGUAUGAUCAUGGCUUUGAA